rnacentral:rRNA from 1 species
AUUGAACGCUGGCGGCAGGCCUAACACAUGCAAGUCGAGCAGUAGAGAGAAGCUUGCUUCUCUUGAGAGCGGCGGACGGGUGAGUAAUGCCUAGGAAUCUGCCUAGUGGUGGGGGAUAACGUUCGGAAACGGACGCUAAUACCGCAUACGUCCUACGGGAGAAAGCAGGGGACCUUCGGGCCUUGCGCUAUCAGAUGAGCCUAGGUCGGAUUAGCUAGUUGGUGAGGUAAUGGCUCACCAAGGCGACGAUCCGUAACUGGUCUGAGAGGAUGAUCAGUCACACUGGAACUGAGACACGGUCCAGACUCCUACGGGAGGCAGCAGUGGGGAAUAUUGGACAAUGGGCGAAAGCCUGAUCCAGCCAUGCCGCGUGUGUGAAGAAGGUCUUCGGAUUGUAAAGCACUUUAAGUUGGGAGGAAGGGUUGUAGAUUAAUACUCUGCAAUUUUGACGUUACCGACAGAAUAAGCACCGGCUAACUCUGUG